rnacentral:lncRNA from 1 species
CAGACCUGGAAUAAAUAUUCCUGUUCUUUAAUUAUAUCAAGAAACUGAACGUGCAUACUAAUACUAUUAUCGAAGAGAAUUCGACGAUAAAUCAGCCGCCGCGUUUCCGAUGCAUUGUUAACGGUGUUCCUCGGUGUAGUCUCGCCGCAGCUGCGAUCGCAUUUCGGGAAACGCUGAAGUACCGUAGUUCCGGAAGUUCGACAGGUACUUCCGAGCGUCCUGAGCAACUCGUGAAACAGUCCAUGAAGAUCCUUCUUACGAAAACGCACCGCGUCUCUUGCAUGAAUAUCUCGCCGGUUCGUCCCGUCAUUAAAAAGGCUUACGUACUUCCAGCUUAGGGUGAGGACAAGCUAACAAGACCGGAACUUUGUACUGCAAACGGAACUUCUGAACCUCCGCGUAAUACGUUUUACGUUUCGGGGUAUAAAACUCUCGCUGUUAAGCCGAGUUCAGAACUUGUCGAGAUGCUGGCUGGAGCUGAGAAUGGUACACGUGAUCGGGGUAUGCGACGGACACGUUCGCGUACCGGCGACAGCUUGGCAGUCGCUGCAGACGGCGCAUACUUGCGCAACCUUAGUCGACGGUAAAUUAACCCUUCUGCCCAUCCCCUGGUCUUCCACGCUCGGUAUCACGUUCCUCGUCUUGUUAACCACGUGCCGCUGGCUUCCCUCAAAAGAAAACCAACGAAACAUUGGAUACUGUUACGUUCAAAAUUAAAAUUCAUUCAAGCUAUCACCGUGUUGUGAAUAUAUAUUUUACCUCUUAAUUAUUUCGAGAGGAAAUCAAUUUCAAGUUUGACCUAUUAAUAUUAAAUAAAACACCAAACUUGUGAUUUAUUAAUAAUGCAGUUCUAUUGCAAUAAAGGCUUCUCGCGCGAGGAGAAAUGUACCGAACGGAAGACGCUCUGAUAGUUGGAUUUUUCAAACGUAACAUCAAAAUCCGCACAUGGGAUAGCAAAUCGCGCGACACGGUACACACGUACACAUGUAGCCGGAGCUGCGCGGUCGAUCAAGGGAUUCGUAAACGGCGUGAGCGGCAUGCUACGAUAUUCGCGAACUAAUUCAACGUUGUUCUCGCCGUAAAUCGCGUGACUCCCGUCCGCCAACGACUUCUUGGAUCAGCGUAAUAGGUAUGUUGCUCACGUACGCUCCGAAUACACAACACGGAGUCGUCUAUCGGUGCGCGGGUGCCAUAGAAGGCGGUGGCACAACAAUUGGCGCCCCUUCGAACACGCCGAAGUAACAUCGAUCCAGGAAGACGAAAGUACCUCUUCCCUCUUCGUUUUUUAAUCACGCAAUAGCGUUGACAAAGUGCGACGGAAAAUUAGCAUCCACCAGAUUGCGGUUUGCGUGAUGGAAGAGAAACGUCAUCUUUUUCGGGACAUAAUGUGGAUAAUCUAGAACUGUCAUUUUUUGUCGUAUUUAGAACUAAAUAUUUGAUUGGAACAUCGUCGCACGUCCACUUAUAUGGAGUGAAAAUCGAAAAUGCACACUUGUGCAUGAUAUUUGUAGCUUCAAAUUCGAUUCGGGUCAAGUCAGUUUAGGUCAUAUUAGGGUUUCCCAUUUGUUUUUUAUCUAUUUCUUUUUUUAUUUUUUUUCAGCAUGUCAAUUUCCCACGUUCUCUCGAAAUGUCGCAUUCAGAUUCUCGUAAUAACGAAACCUUUACGUCAAUUCAGCCAGCACUAAAAGACUAGAUUUUUAUUUAAUCAUUUAGACAAUACACUCUUUUCAACAAUAUCAUGCUGCUCCAGAUAGCAUUAUAAUUAAUUUCAUGUUUAUGACUGCUCUGAAGUUGAUUAUGUUAAAUUAUGAAUAUCUCUAAGUGAGACAAUUCUCGCAUCUUCAGCAGCAACGUAAAACUCAGGAAGUUCCGUAUGCAUUGUGGAGAACGUCCGGUCGGCCUAUCAAAGUCGAUGUUUCUCAGCUCGAUUUAUCCGACAACCGCGUACUCCUCAUGCGCACUCAACGUGACAAUCGACUGUCCCCGGAAGAACAAGAAUUUCGAUUUCGCGGCGGUGAACCGCUGCGGCUGAGCAUGCGAAUUCGUGAACGUCGUGCCGGAAAACCCUGUCCCACCGUCGCCGCAACAGCGGCGGGGUUGUUCGCCCGAAAAGCGCGGGGAAGCAAGAGGACUCACGAUGCAACGUGCGGGACGUGAAUUCGUGGAAUGAGAGAGGGUGCACGAGGAAGAAAAGAGGAUAUGAGAGACAGAGGGAGGGGUAAAAUGGGGCGCGCAAAGGACGAAAAGGGGCGGCGGGUGGCAGGUGUUCCACGAUAGCCGCGUUAUCCACGUUUGGAGGAUUGUGAAAAUGGACGAGAUGGGGGUGGCGCGAUGAAGAAGGAAAGGUCGGGGAGGAUAGUUGGUACACGUUGAUCGUAUCCAUGGAAUAUCCGUACUAUCCUGCGGAAAAUCGGUCCGCGCGCGCGAGAGGGUGAUAGAGUUGGUGUGGGGGUGGUCGGCGAAGCGGAAGGCUGAUCACGUAGACGGCAUUCCGUGGUGCUCCCUUACCACGCGUCGAACUGAAUUAAACCAAUCUCGCAGAGGGCUGGAACGGGAGAGGACGGAGCGGGCGGAGGUGGACACGCGGAUUUAAAUAAUUGAAAUAAACUGUGAGCUCACCAACUCGGCACGCCGCAACCCUCCGGAAAACGGGGAACGUCCCCGCCCUCUCCCUUCGAUAUCCGACUCGAGAACCAUGGUUUGAAUCUCUCCAGCGAUCACGAAGCCAAAACUCCUCGUAAUCGCGUCGAAAUCGAUUUCCUAUCGUCAACUUCGCUUGUCUUCAUGUUUUGUAAUUCAAUGGAGGGUCGGCGUGCGUUCGAUACUCGUUCUUAUUUCCUUCGUGUACUAUCGACAUUUGCGGAGAGAUGUGCACUGUAACGGUGAAAAGUCGAAAAUGCUCAUUAUAGAAUUCCGAAAUGGAAUUUUUCAAUUUGGAGACUAUAAAGUCGAUUAGUAAUUAGCACGGAGAUGAUAUUAAAGGAAACCUUUCCAAAAAAGAAAAUCUAUUGUGAAAAGCGUUACAUAAUUAUUCAUAUAAAACGAUUUUUCUUUUUCUGCUGCUGCAUUAAAAAAAUUGAUUAAAUUUCGCCCGAUGCUUAUAGCAUACGAUUCAUUAGCGAGCUAUCUAUCCGAGAUUAUACGACGUCGAAGGAGAAUUUAUGCUGAUAUCCGGAUUUAUGAUCGAGGCUGGGAACCAUUUACCCCCAAGGACCAAUAAGACUAUUCCGGUUGAUGAGAGUGUGCCGCGAAUCUAUAAAAGAUUUCGAUUUCACGUUAUUACGCUCGGCAUGGAGUAUCGAUCGAGUUUGCGUGCAAUAAGCGAUCCGCUUGCUUAGCAUUCUGAGGAGCGGCUGGUGGAUUAUGAGAAUACACGCCGGAAUAUUUCAGAGUUCCAUUCUUGGUAAAGUUAAUCUAUUUUGCAAGCUUAUAAUAUUAAUUUCAUGUACCUCACGUUUUGCGUGUCCAGACGUUUCAAUAUUUAAAGAGGCAUCGCUUCAACUCCUAUCGCGAGGAAAAUUGCUUGCAAAUCUGGCAAAAAUAUUGCGAAGAAUUUUUAUCGUUCUUCGCUUUCCUUCUGGUCGACUCGCGCAAAUAGCUCGUCAUCGUUCGAGAAAAAAAAAUCUGACGUACCUCCUUCAUUCAACUGGCGGUUUAUUUCACAGUUUAUAUCCUGUAUCUGAUUAAUAGAACCCGGCGGAUACAAAAACCGCGUAUAAAACUCCAUCCGUCCUUUAAAACGACUCUGCGCUCCGCCCUUCGCUCGUUCAUCCGCUUCUUCGACUCGGUGAACCAUUUUCCCCGAGCGAUCAUUACACUAUUGGAGUUACGACCCGUUUAUUCACCAUAAAGACAGAAGGGAGAAGAGACUCAUUCGCGAGAGGAGAAAGAUGAAAAGCCGCUGACAUGCGCUCAUCCUACGUUUCGUUUCAUUCGCGAAUCCGCAAAUAAUAAGACGCGGACGAGGCAUACCGCACAGAGAGAAACGUCCUAUUCCAUUUUAAUUUUAUUUUGUCAUCUCGCGAAAUAGCAGAUCCUCUUAUCCGAUUCCGGUAGAUAAAUGGCGCGCGCGCGCGCGCAAUGAGCGCGACUCGCGAAAUAUAAUUCAAUUUCAAAUCGUUGCUCCCACUCGUAGGAGGCACUUGAGCUGCAACACCGAGUCCUGUUGACGAAACUUUUGCAAUGAAAACUACUACGGCCAUAAUAAAACCUCAACCAACUAAUUUAUCGCGUGCAAUAUAACGCGAAUUUACGUGAUUGUUUCCUUUGACACGCAGGAAUAGCAAUAAUGAACGUUGUUUUUCCUACAAUAAUCGUUCACAUAAAAGAUCUAUAAAAAUAUUUAUAUCGAUAAUUCGUACGUCAUUUUAUACGAGCGUAAAAUGUUUUAUGGUCCAAUAGCGGAUACGGAAAUUAUAUAGAUGUUAUUUCUUGCAGUCCAUAUCUUAUUUCGAAAAUAGCUCCUCUCGAUCCUUAAUAAUAAUUCAUCUUACUCGUAAUUAAUGGCAAGUAUAAUGUUUAAGUCUAUUCGAAAUGAAUGGGUUUAUAAUUUUUCAAAAAGAUUCAAAGAUAAAAAAAACUCGUUAAAAGCUUAAAAUAAAUGUAGACAGCAAGUGCUUGCGGGUCACGCGAAACCAUCAAUCGUUAUCCCGAAUGUAAUUCGCAAAACUCAUGCGGGUUAUCCGAGAAAAGAACGGCCACGAAUUCCGGUAUAAUCCUCGGAGUCAGAAUGAGAGAAAGGCGUGCUUUUUAUCCCGCGGCAAAAGGUCGGAAAGGGGGGCGGGGAAGACAGCACCUCGAAUUUCUCGUAGACGAGCGUUAUCGCGAACUCGUUAAAAUCCCUCCGGCGGGAUUCACCGUUAAAAUCCCUCCAUAAGGAUUCCGACCUUGCAUUUGUCCGAAGAUUCAUUCCUCAUUCUUCGCGACAUAGUCCCGCCGUCGCCCCCUCAGCGAUGUCCGAAAAACCCACCACCGUAACGCCGGCCCGACCUCGUAGAAAAGUUAUAAGCCGACGGAUUAUAAUGGCGAGACGAUAAGAGAGGGUAGCAGGAAAAAGGCGGCAGACCAACCACGAAUCGCUAUUAACCCGUCACCCACCCUUGCUUGCCGGGAUCCCCCCUCGAGAGCUGGUGAUUGCGCACCGGGACCGGCAGAAAGUUCGGAAGUGAAACGUGCGAAAAGAGCAGAUUGAUAGACGGGCAGAAAGGGGAGGGUAAAAAGGCGCGAAAGUAGCAAUUAAUCUUGCGGCUAAGCGUGACGUUUAAUCCCUCGCACGCCCGCGUAAUUGGAGGAAAGGGUGGCGUGAGAGCUCUCUGACUUUACGUUAAACAAUCGCGUAUUUCAUAAUUUCGUGCGGGUCAAGGUAAAUACCAGAGAAAAGCAUUGAGAGGAAAAAGAAUCAUGUAAUCAGUCGCGUAAUUAAAACAUGAGAUAAUAACGAGCUCAUUAAUAAAAUGCCGACGUGAUUAUGCACAUCGAGCGUAAACACUGAUACAAAAUGCACACAUAUGGCGUACGCGAAAACGGAGGCUAGCCAGGAAAAAUGGCAAGUUGCGAAAUUAGUAAUCGGUUUCACGGGCGAGUAAUGCUCGCGGCGUUCGUGGAUUAAUUAUUACCCAAUGAAAAAGCAACCUGUGGAUUUUCAGUUAACUCGCGCAUGUUCGUACGUCAAAGGCACCGCGCGUGUGAGUUAAUUAAAUCGAGGAGUUCGAAACGCGUAACGCCGACGUGUUCGUCGCGUGGGCUACGCAGCGAUGAAAACGGUGCACAUGGAAGUGCACGUGGCCAAUUACGCAAAGUACGGGGUAUCGAUUCCCGUAAAUUAGACGGGAUGGAACAUAACGUAAACAUUUCACGGACGUCGCUGAUGAAAACGUCCUCGAUCUCCCGGUGGCGCGCCGCGACGUCUCGAGUGACGGGAACCUUUCGCGUAAUUGAGAGGCGAAAUCAUUUUCGAUUGCCCGUGUCAAUUCCGCCGGGCCAUUAAUUACAACACUGUGCUUGAUGUGCUGUCCCGUUUUCGAUCCACUAUACGUCAUUCAGGCUUCGCAAUCUGACAGUAAACUAUUUACGCGACAAAUAUCAAAGCCGCACGAUUUUUAGGCAACACGCCCUUCUUUUUGGACAACAUGGGUUUUCGAUGGUAUCACCGUUCGUUCUCUUUCUAAUUUAAUUUUAGUUUAAUGUUAACUAAAUGAUGAAUCUAGCUAGGACAGAAAGAAAAAAAGAGAAUGAAAGCAAACAAAAAUCGACAGGAUUAAAUGCGACAUGUUUGAUUUAUUAUCGAUAUAUGUGAAUUCUGUUAACUGAUCAAUUGACGUGAUAUUAUUAGAUCUAUUAUGAAUUGAGCCAUCAAUUUUUAUAUUCAAUUUUGCCUUCAUCUAUCAGAUCACGAGACAGAAUAUUUUACAGAUUGUCGUUUAGAGCUCUGACAUGAAUUUAGACAGGAUUACAAACGCAUAAGCGUGUCGUGUAAAUUAUUACAGCGAUAAAUGUUGCCGGAGAAUAUCGAUAUCCAGCCUUAAAUCGCGGCCAACCAAUUAAUCAACAGAAUUUCCUAACCAUGUCCUUCUGACUUGAAUGUUUCUAUUUGCGGUGCGAUCGAUCGGAUGAUUCGAGCGUUGGUCAAACAAGCCGAAUAUUCCCUCGGGAAUUGAGCAGCAAAACGUGUCUGCGCAAGAUGAGGAAAUCCAUUUGGAAGCUGACCAUGCGAGAAAAUGCAAUUAGUACCGCUUUUUAUCCGCCAACGUCAAUUGUCAACUCCCUUGUAGCAUCGAAGCAAAUUCUACGAAUAGUUGAUUUUUUUUACGCAGUACCAAGUCAAUAUUAAGGAAAUCUCAUUAAUCGCGUAUUCCUGCGAACAGAAUCCUUGAGCAAACGCGGCGGCUGACACCACCGGCUACGGGAAUAUCGAGACAGUCCGGAACAAUCCCUAAAAGCAAUAUCUCCGUGAACGUCGUCCUGUCUGAAUCCCCCGGGCACUCCGGGGCGGGAUCGUUCUCGCAUGAGCGAUUUUCUAUUUUACAUUUCACUCGACCGAAUCCGUCCGAGAGAGCGCCACGCGACGCGUCGGGCGCCGCGUAACUUGGCGAAACAGCAAAA